CUACGGGCGGCACCAGUGGGGAAUAUUGCACAAUGGAGGAAACUCUGAUGCAGCAACGCCGCGUGGAGGAUGACACUUUUCGGAGCGUAAACUCCUUUUAUAUAGGAAGAAGAUGACGGUACUAUAUGAAUAAGCGCCGGCUAACUCCGUGCCAGCAGCCGCGGUAAUACGGAGGGCGCAAGCGUUACUCGGAGUCACUGGGCGUAAAGAGCGUGUAGGCGGAUUAAAAAGUCAGAAGUGAAAUCCUAUAGCUUAACUAUAGAACUGCUUCUGAAACUCUUAAUCUAGAAUAUGGGAGAGGUAGAUGGAAUUUCUGGUGUAGGGGUAAAAUCCGCAGAGAUCAGAAGGAAUACCGAUUGCGAAGGCGAUCUACUAGAACAUUAUUGACGCUGAGACGCGAAAGCGUGGGGAGCAAACAGGAUUAGAUACCCUCGUAGUC
rnacentral:rRNA from 1 species